AAAGAAACCAACAGGGAUUGCCCCAGUAACGGCGAGUGAAGCGGCAACAGCUCAAAUUUGAAAUCUGGCCCCUCAAGGUCCGAGUUGUAAUUUGUAGAGGAUGCUUUUGGUGAGGUGCCGCCCGAGUUCCCUGGAACGGGACGCCGCAGAGGGUGAGAGCCCCGUCUGGCUGGCCGCCGAACCUAUGUAAAGCUCCUUCGACGAGUCGAGUAGUUUGGGAAUGCUGCUCAAAAUGGGAGGUAUAUGUCUUCUAAAGCUAAAUAUUGGCCAGAGACCGAUAGCGCACAAGUAGAGUGAUCGAAAGAUGAAAAGCACCUUGAAAAGAGGGUUAAAUAGUACGUGAAAUUGUUGAAAGGGAAGCGCUUGUGACCAGACUUGGGCGCGGCGGAUCAUCCGGGGUUCUCCCCGGUGCACUUCGCCGUGUCCAGGCCAGCAUCAGUUCGUCGCGGGGGAAAAAGGCUUCGGGAACGUGGCUCCUCCGGGAGUGUUAUAGCCCGUUGCACAAUACCCUGCGGUGGACUGAGGACCGCGCUUCGGCAAGGAUGCUGGCGUAAUGGUCACCAGCGACCCGUCUUGAAACACGGACCAAGGAGUCGUCUUCGUAUGCGAGUGUUCGGGUGUCAAACCCCUACGCGGAAUGAAAGUGAACGCAGGUGAGAGCUUCGGCGCAUCAUCGACCGAUCCUGAUGUUCUCGGAUGGAUUUGAGUAAGAGCAUACGGGGCCGGACCCGAAAGAAGGUGAACUAUGCCUGUAUAGGGUGAAGCCAGAGGAAACUCUGGUGGAGGCUCGCAGCGGUUCUGACGUGCAAAUCGAUCGUCAAAUAUGGGCAUGGGGGCGAAAGACUAAUCGAACCUUCUAGUAGCUGGUUUCCGCCGAAGUUUCCCUCAGGAUAGCAGUGUUGAGCUCAGUUUUAUGAGGUAAAGCGAAUGAUUAGGGACUCGGGGGCGCUAUAUUGCCUUCAUCCAUUCUCAAACUUUAAAUAUGUAAGAAGCCCUUGUUACUUAGUUGAACGUGGGCAUUCGAAUGUAUCAAC
rnacentral:rRNA from 1 species